CUUGGUCAUUUAGAGGAAGUAAAAGUCGUAACAAGGUCUCCGUUGGUGAACCAGCGGAGGGAUCAUUAUAGAGUUUUCUAAACUCCCAACCCAUGUGAACUUACCUUUUGUUGCCUCGGCAGAAGUUAUAUGGCUUCUUAUAGCUGCUGCCGGUGGACCAUUAAACUCUUGUUAUUUUAUGUAAUCUGAGCGUCUUAUUUUAAUAAGUCAAAACUUUCAACAACGGAUCUCUUGGUUCUGGCAUCGAUGAAGAACGCAGCGAAAUGCGAUAAGUAAUGUGAAUUGCAGAAUUCAGUGAAUCAUCGAAUCUUUGAACGCACAUUGCGCCCAUUAGUAUUCUAGUGGGCAUGCCUGUUCGAGCGUCAUUUCAACCCUUAAGCCUAGCUUAGUGUUGGGAAUCUACUUCUUUUAUUAGUUGUAGUUCCUGAAAUACAACGGCGGAUUUGUAGUAUCCUCUGAGCGUAGUAAUUUUUUUUCUCGCUUUUGUUAGGUGCUAUAACUCCCAGCCGCUAAACCCCCAAUUUUUUGUGGUUGACCUCGGAUCAGGUAGGAAUACCCGCUGAACUUAAGCAUAUCAAUAAGCGGAGGAA
rnacentral:rRNA from 1 species